UCGAGCGGUAACAGGGGUAGCUUGCUACCCGCUGACGAGCGGCGGACGGGUGAGUAAUGCAUAGGAAUCUGCCCGAUAGUGGGGGAUAACCUGGGGAAACCCAGGCUAAUACCGCAUACGUCCUACGGGAGAAAGGGGGCUCCGGCUCCCGCUAUCGGAUGAGCCUAUGUCGGAUUAGCUAGUUGGUGAGGUAAAGGCUCACCAAGGCGACGAUCCGUAGCUGGUCUGAGAGGAUGAUCAGCCACAUCGGGACUGAGACACGGCCCGAACUCCUACGGGAGGCAGCAGUGGGGAAUAUUGGACAAUGGGGGGAACCCUGAUCCAGCCAUGCCGCGUGUGUGAAGAAGGCCCUCGGGUUGUAAAGCACUUUCAGUGAGGAAGAACGCCUGGUGGUUAAUACCCAUCAGGAAAGACAUCACUCACAGAAGAAGCACCGGCUAACUCCGUGCCAGCAGCCGCGGUAAUACGGAGGGUGCGAGCGUUAAUCGGAAUUACUGGGCGUAAAGCGCGCGUAGGUGGCUUGAUAAGCCGGUUGUGAAAGCCCCGGGCUCAACCUGGGAACGGCAUCCGGAACUGUCAAGCUAGAGUGCAGGAGAGGAAGGUAGAAUUCCCGGUGUAGCGGUGAAAUGCGUAGAGAUCGGGAGGAAUACCAGUGGCGAAGGCGGCCUUCUGGACUGACACUGACACUGAGGUGCGAAAGCGUGGGUAGCAAACAGGAUUAGAUACCCUGGUAGUCCACGCCGUAACGAUG
rnacentral:rRNA from 1 species